ensembl:lncRNA
CUGAAUAAUAAUGUUCACUGGUUACUGUUUGAGUAGUUCUUCUGGCUCCUAAAUGCAAAUAUGUAACAAUAACAACUGUUUCAGGUAGAAUUCAGGACUUCACAUAUCCCUUCAUGUCCCUUCGUAACCCUUCAAAAUAUUCUUCCUGCUUGACAAUAUUAAUUAAUUUUUUUUAUAGCUAAUUGCCUUCAGCGCAAACCUCUGAGUUAUCAGUAUUUUCAUUCUUCAUUUCAGGUCUAUGUCGCUCUGUAAAACCACCGCUCGCUACGCAGCUUCCCUUCGUCCUUUCUGUAUGUCCUGCUGAGGAAUUUGGAUGAAAGGAAAGGAGGCAGAGCAGCCUCGAAGGGAGGGCAAAAAAGAGAGAGGAAGAAGUGAUAGAGGAAAAGAGGGAGGAGAAGUGACAGCAGGGACAGAAAAUAGAGGUAGGAGGGUGUCCUUGUUAGCUUGUCAUCCUGUUGUAACCCUGAGGCCAGUGAUGUGACUGGAAUGUGAAUUCAUCAUAAAAGGACCGACUCUACCUGAGGACUUCCUGCUUCCCCAAGAAACUCAGGGCUGUUUGUAUGGAGACGAUUGAGAUGAGCAUCAAUAGAGAUGGAAUGAAAAGACCGAAGGCAACACACACACACACACACACACACACACACACAGACAGACACACACACACACACACACACACACACACACAUUUCUUUGGCUGCCCUGUGAUUGACUCACUGAAUGUUUUUCUUUUUGAUGAUCACUUUUAUGUCUCCAUCUUCAGCUGUGUGUGUGUGUGUGUGUGUGUGUGUGUGUGUGUGUGUGUGUGUCAGCCAGUGAGUCAGUCCACCCCCCCUCCCUAUUGCUGGAGGAUCAUCCAGGAAUAAACACGCAUCUCUCAGGCCUGGUUUCUCUCAUCAGUGAUCACAGAUCCUCCAACUCUCCACUUUACACAGUGAAUCACAGCACAGACUCAAAGCUGGAAAACAAAAGCCUGCCACUAAGAAAUGCCUGAAUAUCUAUCCUCCAACAGUGGAUAUUAACCUGCCACUGUACUUAGUCACUGCUCUUUAUUUCAGUGUUUUGCCUCUUGUUUGUAGAGUUCAUCUCACAGAUUUUCAGAUACUUUAUUUCACAGUCUUUCAGUAUAAACACAGUUACUCUGCUCAAUCAAACGUUCUUCACGUCUGAAACUGAAAUACAUGAACUCUUGCC